rnacentral:rRNA from 1 species
UACAGAGGUCUCAAGCGUUGCUCGGAAUCACUGGGCGUAAAGGGUGCGUAGGCGGGUCUUUAAGUCAGGGGUGAAAUCCUGGAGCUCAACUCCAGAACUGCCUUUGAUACUGAGGAUCUUGAGUACGGGAGAGGUGAGUGGAACUGCGAGUGUAGAGGUGAAAUUCGUAGAUAUUCGCAAGAACACCAGUGGCGAAGGCGGCUCACUGGCCCGUUACUGACGCUGAGGCACGAAAGCGUGGGGAGCAAACAGGG